rnacentral:lncRNA from 1 species
AUGGAGCAGAGGGCCCAGGGCCCGCAGACGGCCUCCUCUGCUCGGAGAGGCCUGCGACGGGCCGCGGGCAGGGUCAGGACGCACCGUGCAAUGGGGGCCGGCAGCGCUGGAGCCACAGAGGGACAAGCACAGGGAGGUUCUCUGCCCCUGGUUCUGGGGGCGGGGGCCGGGGGUGGCCGGUGCAGGCUGAGAGCAGAAGAGAGAGCACCGCCCCGUGGAAGGAUCCGGAACAAGCACCGCUUACAGAAAGGAGGGGAAGAUGACACGAUGACUGUGCAGGUGAGUGGAGUCACACGAAGUGAAGCAGUCCUGCUGGAAAGACAUCAAGCAAUUAGAGCUUUCGGAUCGAUAUUGAAUAGCUGUGAUGAUCGAGACAACUUAGAUGUGGUCCCAGGGCUGAUGAUAAAUUCUGAAUCUCACUAUCGGUGAGUAUAACAAGGAGGAAGCACAGCACUCGUGGAGAGACAGACCUGGGAGCCAAACUACCUGUGUUCCAGUCCCAGCACAUUUACCGAUUAGCUGGGUGAACUCGGGCACGUCACUUAACCUCUCUGUUCUUGGUUCCAGCACCUGUAAGUUGGGGACGAUAAUGGUAGGCUCUUCAUGGAACUGUCAGAAAAUCAAAUGCAUUUGUAUAUGUACUUGAAUAGAGACUGGCAGGUCAUAGAUUCUAUCUAAGCACUUGCCACUAUGCGUAAAUAAGAUGUCUGCUAGCUUGAAAGAGUUUUAAAAAAUCAUUUUAACACAGUAUCACCUUUUUCCUAGUUGACUAAGAGCUUUUUCAGGAGUGGAUGCUUGAUAUUAUCAAAUGUCCUUUUUUUCCCUCCCUUUGAUGUGAUGAUAAACUGUAGAAAUAGAUUUCUUAAUAUUGAACUAUUUUUGAAUGUGAUGGGAUCAUUCUACUUUGACAUGGUGUGCAAGUCUGCUCAAAAAAUCAUUUUAUGGGGCGCCUGGGUGGCUCAGUUGUUUGCACGUCUGACUCUUGAUUUCGGCUCAGGUCAUGAUCUCCUAGUUCGUGGGUUUGAGCCCUGCGUCAGGGUCUGUGCUGACAGUGUGGAGCCUCCUUGAGAUUCUCUCUCUCUCUCUCUCUCUCUCUCUGCCUCUGCCCCUCCUCUGCUCCCUCUUUCUUUAUCUUUCAAAAUAAACAAACGAACAUUAAAAAAAAACUUUACA